CCCGGUGGAUGAUUUUAGAAUUACAUUCUUCAUGCAGAUAAGCCAACCCUUUUGCAGAACCUAUGGCAAUAUUCAUUCUUUUUGACCACUUCAAAUUUGAUCUUUGCUUUACAUCGCUUAGAUGUCUCAAGGAUUUGUUGGGAACAAACUCUAAAACGAGCAAUCUGUCGAAUUCUUGACUGCAGUAGCCAACCAGCUUAACAAGAUUUCUG
rnacentral:misc_RNA from 1 species